AUGAACGCUGGCGGCGUGCCUAAUACAUGCAAGUCGAGCGAACGGACGAGAAGCUUGCUUCUCUGAUGUUAGCGGCGGACGGGUGAGUAACACGUGGAUAACCUACCUAUAAGACUGGGAUAACUUCGGGAAACCGGAGCUAAUACCGGAUGAUAUUUUGAACCGCAUGGUUCAAAAGUGAAAGACGGUCUUGAUGUCACUUAUAGAUGGAUCCGCGCUGCAUUAGCUAGUUGGUAAGGUAACGGCUUACCAAGGCAACGAUGCAUAGCCGACCUGAGAGGGUGAUCGGCCACACUGGAACUGAGACACGGUCCAGACUCCUACGGGAGGCAGCAGUAGGGAAUCUUCCGCAAUGGGCGAAAGCCUGACGGAGCAACGCCGCGUGAGUGAUGAAGGUCUUCGGAUCGUAAAACUCUGUUAUUAGGGAAGAACAUAUGUGUAAGUAACUGUGCACAUCUUGACGGUACCUAAUCAGAAAGCCACGGCUAACUACGUG
rnacentral:rRNA from 1 species